AUGGAGCUGAGAUCGCCUUUGUCUUUGGAAAGCCCUUCUUAGCUGGACACGCUACAGAAGAAGAGCAUAAACUUAGCAGAACUGUUAUGAAAUACUGGGCUAACUUUGCUAGAAAUGGAAAUCCCAAUGGAGAAGGCUUGGUCCACUGGCCUCAGUAUGACCUGGAUGAGAAAUACCUGGAGAUAGACCUGAAGCAAAAGGCAGCCCAGAAACUGAAAGAAGGCAAAAUGAAGGUUUGGACACAUCUCGUGAAAAAAAUGAUGAGUGAAAGGAGAGAACACACAGAUUUGUAAGAGCUGCAGAGGGUACAGUUUGCUGUGAAGACCCAAAGUAAAGUCAAACAAAACCAGUUUGUCAGGAUUCAGAGUUAUAAUCACCUUCUAACUCACUUGCAUAUAAUCUGUUGUCCUGGUCACAGUCAAAGAGGAGAAACAAGGCAAAUUUAGAAUGUUUGUUGGACUAAAAAUCACUAUUUAAUGGAGCAAACAGAAAAAACCCACAAACAACUAGAAAGUCCGAUCUUUCAGUGA